rnacentral:rRNA from 1 species
ACCGGCAAACGGGUGCGGAACACGUACGCAACCUUCCCAAAACUGGUGAAUAGCCCUCCGAAAGGAGGAUUAAUACACCGUAACUUAAUGAGGUGGCAUCACUUUAUUAAUAUAGCUCCGGCGGUUUUGGGUGGGCGUGCGCCUGAUUAGGUAGUUGGCGGGGUAACGGCCCACCAAGCCUACGAUCAGUAACUGGUGUGAGAGCACGACCAGUCACACGGGCACUGAGACACGGGCCCGACUCCUACGGGAGGCAGCAGUAAGGAAUAUUGGUCAAUGGACGCAAGUCUGAACCAGCCAUGCCGCGUGAAGGAUGACGGCCCUCUGGGUUGUAAACUUCUUUUAUCUGGGACGAAAAAAGAUCAUUCCUGAUCACUUGACGGUACCAGAGGAAUAAGCACCGGCUAACUCCGUGCCAGCAGCCGCGGUAAUACGGAGGGUGCAAGCGUUAUCCCGGAUUUACUGGGUUUAAAG